GGCUCUCACAGUGGGCCCAGCAUGUUUCCAAUAUUGCAUCAGUCUUUUCCCCAACAGAGUAACGCUUUAAUGGGGCAAAUUUGUUCUCUGCACGGGAAACAUGUGGGCCCUUGUCAGGUGCUGCAUCAGAGUGAGUUGCCCUCCACCAGCUUCCUAGAUCUGGCCGUGUGAGGAGGCAGAAGGAGCCCUCUGAGACUUUGGGCCCUAGAGUAAAUUGGAGUCUCCCUGGAGUAUUGCAAAGCCGGGUUUGGAAAUCUCAGAUGAAGAGAAUGUUGGGCAAUGGAUGAUGGAGAAAAAGGAGAAACAAAGAGAAAGAGAACAGAGAUGGCUGGAGACAGAGACAAGGAGAGUCAGAAAGCGACAGAAAGUAAGUCUCUCCGGGCCUCUCCACCCAGCCAAUGACAGUAUCACUUCAGGAAGAGACACUCCCUGUUCCCCAACUUCGGUUCCCCCUCCGCCAAAACCGUAUGAUAUUUUAGGGAAGCCCCUCUUUAUUCAUUAGAAAUCGGCUGCUUUGAGUUUGGCCCCUAAAAACUUGCCUCCUGCCCCGGAAGAUUUAUUUUAUUAAAUGGUCCACACCUGAAA
rnacentral:lncRNA from 1 species